UACAGAGGGUGCGAGCGUUGUCCGGAAUCACUGGGCGUAAAGGGCGCGUAGGUGGUGGCUUAAGCGUGCGGUGAAAGCUCGGGGCUCAACUCCGAGUCGGCCGUGCGAACUGGGCUCACUGGAGCAUAGUAGAGGCAGGUGGAAUUCCGGGUGUAGCGGUGGAAUGCGUAGAGAUCCGGAAGAACACCGGUGGCGAAGGCGGUCUGCUGGGCAGUUGCUGACACUGAGGCGCGACAGCGUGGGGAGCAAACAGG
rnacentral:rRNA from 1 species